UAGGUGAACCUGCGGAAGGAUCAUUAAAGAGUAAGGGUCUUCUAGGCUCGAACCUCCAACCCUCUGUAUACUUACCUUUGUUGCUUUGGCGGGCCCGCUGGGGUGACCCACCGCUGGCUUAGGCUGGUGAGUGCCCGUCGGAGUCCACCUAAACUCUGUUUAUCAGUGGCGUCUGAGUAUCAUACAAUAGUUAAAACUUUCAACAACGGAUCUCUUGGUUCUGGCAUCGAUGAAGAACGCAGCGAAAUGCGAUAAGUAAUGUGAAUUGCAGAAUUCAGUGAAUCAUCGAAUCUUUGAACGCACAUUGCGCCCCUUGGUAUUCCGAGGGGCAUGCCUGUUCGAGCGUCAUUACACCACUCAAGCCCAGCUUGGUAAUGGGUCUUCGCCUUCUGAGGCGUGCCUGAAAGUUAGUGGCGGUGCCGCCUGGCUUCAAGCGUAGUAAUCAUCUUUUCGCUUUGGAGGUCGGGUGUGUUGCUCGCCAUUCAACCCCCCAAACUUCAUAAGGUUGACCUCGGAUCA
rnacentral:rRNA from 1 species